rnacentral:lncRNA from 1 species
CAGACGUCUCCAUUUCCGGUAUCUAGAGCCGGCUGCCCUCUAAAAAUCCCCCUGUUACAGUCGGGAUAGAAAACAAAAAGCUUAAUUUACCAGGAGGCUAAACAGAUUGUGCCUUCUUAGGCAAAUGUUCCACCUGCUUGGCCAAUUAGCUUCCUCUCCCGAAAGACUCGUUCAACAGGUUUCCUUUUUCUCUUCUCUGCCUCCUGGGUUGGGGAAAGAGGCUGUCACUUCGCUUCGACCCUCCCCUUCCCUCCCUCUCGGCUUUUCCACAGUGGGUCGGACCAAUCGCGCCCGCUCCGACGUGUCCAGGUCCGCGGCCCCGGGAGCUUGGCGCGGCCCGGCCUGGAUGCGCUGGGCGGAGGGUGCAGGGGAGGGCACGGCGCCGCUUGCUUGGCCUGCGCACCCGGACCUAGAAGCCGGGACGAGCCGGGGCAGAGCCAGGCGCGCGGAAGUCUGAAGGUGCCCUCCAGACACGGCCCCGAUGACUGAACUACAGCAAGAUGUGGAAGACACAAAGCCUGCGAAAGUGCUCGGGAAGAGGGAGAGCAAACUUGGCUCAGCCCAGUGUGACCUGGCAAGUUACUCAGCACCUCUAAGUCUCUGUUUCAUCAUCUAUAAUGGGGAGUACUUAAGUCAGCUAUUUGAUACAGGCUUGCUUUGAAGUUUAAAUGGGAAAUGUAAGAACAGACACUUUUCAAAAGAAGACAUAUAUACAGCCAACAAUCAUGAAAAAAAGCUCUACAUCACUAAUCAUUAGCGAAACGCAAAUCAAAACCACAAUGAAAUUCCAUCUCACACCAGUCAGGAUGGCAAUUAUUAGAAAGUCAAAAAAAUAACAGAUGCUGGCAAGGUUGCAGAGAAAAAAGAAUGCUUAUUCACUGUUGCUGGGGGUGUAAAUUAGUUUGACCAUCGUGGAAGACAGUGUGGCAAUUCCUCAAAUACCCAAAGACAGACAUACCAUUCAACUCAGCAAUCCCUUUACUGGGUAUAUACCCAGAGGAAUAUAAAUUGUUCUUUUAUAAAGACACAUGCAUGUGUAUGUUCACUGCAGCACUCUUCACAAUAGCAAAGACAUGGAAUCAACCUAAAUGCCCAUCAAUGGUAGACUGCAUAAAGAAAAUAUGGUAUAUAUACACCAUGGAAUACUAUCCAGCCAUAAAAACGAGAUCACAUCCUUUGCAGGGACAUGAAUGGAGCUGGAGGCCAUUAUCUUUAGCAAACAAAUGCAGGAACAAAAAACGAAAUACCACAUGUUCUCACUUAUAAGUGGGAGCUAAAUGAUGAGAACACAUGGACACACAGAGGGGAACAACACACACUGGGAUCUAUUGGAGGGUGGAGGGUGGGAGGAGGGAGAAAUCAGGAAAAAUAACUAAUGGGUACUAGGUUUAAUACCUGAGUGACAAAAUAAUCUGUAUAACAAACCCCCAUGAUACAAGUUUACCUAUAUGACAAACCUGCAUAUGUACCCCUGAACUUCAAUGUUAAAGAAAAAAGUAAAAUAAAAAAGAAAUGUACUUCA